UACGGAGGGUGCAAGCGUUAUCCGGAUUUACUGGGUUUAAAGGGUGCGUAGGUGGGUCUGUAAGUCAGUGGUGAAAUCUCCGGGCUUAACUCGGAAAUUGCCAUUGAUACUAUAGGUCUUGAAUCAUCUGGAGGUAAGCGGAAUAUGUCAUGUAGCGGUGAAAUGCUUAGAUAUGACAUAGAACACCAAUUGCGAAGGCAGCUGGCUACACGGUAAUUGACACUGAGGCACGAAAGCGUGGGGAGCAAACAGG
rnacentral:rRNA from 1 species